GAUGAACGCUGGCGGCGUGCCUAAUACAUGCAAGUCGAACGAAGAUCUAGCUUGCUAGAUCUUAGUGGCGAACGGGUGAGUAAUACAUAAAUAAUCUGCCCAUAUGACUGGGAUAACUAUUGGAAACGAUAGCUAAUACCGGAUAGGUUGAUCGGAGGCAUCUCUGAUGAAUUAAAGUAGGAUUUCUACACAAAUGGAUGAGUUUCUGGCGCAUUAGUUAGUUGGUGGGGUAACGGCCUACCAAGACGAUGAUGCGUAGCCGACCUGAGAGGGUGACCGGCCACACUGGGACUGAGACACGGCCCAGACUCCUACGGGAGGCAGCAGUAGGGAAUUUUCGGCAAUGGGCGCAAGCCUGACCGAGCAACGCCGCGUGAGUGGUUAAGGCCUUCGGGUUGUAAAGCUCUGUUGUAGGGGAAGAACAUUCAGGAUAGGAAAUGAUCUUGAACUGACGGUACCUUACCAGAAAGCCACGGCUAACUACGUGCCAGCAGCCGCAGUAA
rnacentral:rRNA from 1 species